AGGGUUCGAUUAUGGCUCAGGAUGAACGCUGGCGGCGUGCCUAACACAUGCAAGUCGAGCGAGAAACUCAUGACAGAAGCUUCGGUUGAAGUCAUGGGUGGAAAGCGGCGGACGGGUGAGUAACGCGUAGGCAACCUGCCCUUUGCAGAGGGAUAGCCUCGGGAAACCGGGAUUAAAACCUCAUGAUGCCGUGUGAAGACAUCUUCAUAUGGUCAAAGAUUUAUCGGCAAAGGAUGGGCCUGCGUCUGAUUAGCUGGUUGGUGGGGUAACGGCUCACCAAGGCGACGAUCAGUAGCCGACCUGAGAGGGUGAUCGGCCACAUUGGAACUGAGACACGGUCCAA
rnacentral:rRNA from 1 species